UUUUUUUGGUAGAUAAUAAUAGAGGACAAGUUAUCAUUGGCUCAAUAAACAAAACCAUGGAGUUCUUGUUUCUCGGUCUCACUGUUGAACUUGCUGUCUGAGGGGUCCUUUUGGAGGAUCUGGUAUUGCCAUCUGCCGCCCUCCGUGCCUUUGGUUUUCCUUGUCUGGUACAGUUCUUGCUGGUACAGAAAGGCUAGCACUGCAGUGAUACAGUGGUGCGACCUUUCAUUGUCUUCCGGCGCUUGAGGAGUCUUGAGGGUCAGACGGUGUUUGUGUAUUUGGCUCUUUGCCGCCUCUGCCUGUGUUAAGUCAAGCCGCCCAGUCCUUGCACAUCAUCAGCUCCAUUCUUCUGAAUAAAACAGGAGCAUCGCCUCAUUUCUCUUGCAGAAACCCUUAUUUAAACAAUGAAAACUUUAACGAUAGGGAGAAAAAAAACCCCAAGUUAAUUUAGAACUAAAUUACUGCUCAAAUGGUUUUAUCUCUUAAAAGGUUCAAGUAGAGAUUAGCUUAAAUGGCACCCACUUUCACUCUUGCUUAUGCCUAUCUUGUGAGCGAGCAUCCUUGUCAAGAGCCCCCUGGCCCCUGUCUCCAGCUUUGUUAGCGAUCAUGAGAGUGUUAGCUGCUGGUGUGCUGUUUGCUCCUGGAGCCGAUCUCUCCAUCCAUGGGCCAGGUUGGCAAGUGGAAGCCUUGCUUCCACUUCCACAGAGGGAGCAUGAAGAAGAGCAAAGCAGCAGACCACGCACAGAGGGAUGUGUACGCCGGAAGGAUCCAUGUCUGUCCAUCUCUUUAUUAAAAUAUCUACCUAGUGGCGUUGGGUGAUGUCUCCUAAUGCAUACUCACCUGUAAAUCCCUUACAUGUGAGGCCGUAUUGAAAAAGUAUGUUGAAAGGAUUAAUUCAAGAUGUUCUCAGUCUGCUUUGAGAAGUGAAGGAAACAAGUGAGUGGAAUCGCGUAACAUCAGAGAAACAGCGUGAUCAUAAUCUAAUUGUCGGGCCUUUAAACACAGACGUUAUUAUUUUAAUCAACCUCUUAUAUUGUAUUUGCUAUAUUGAAUAAAGACAUGGUAUUGCUAGCCCAUAAGGCAGCUGGUAGAGAAGAACAAACAUUUGAUUUAUGAAGUGAUUAUUCAUUUGAGUAUCUGUUAUAUGCCAGAGACUGUUGGGCAUAUUUCUCUCUUUCAAGAAGGUAGUUAGAUGUGCUUUUUGAUAUAUUUUUUUUUUCUCUCACCAGGUUUGGUUUUGUUUUGUUUGUUUGUUUUUUUUUUUUGAAAAUUUAAAAAUCUCAGGUAACUUGAAAUCAGAGUACAAUGACGAUGCAUAUUUGUUUCUACUUUAGAGCUCUCAACUGUUAACUUUUGACCAUUUGUAUUAUUGCCAUAUCCCUAAAUAAUAUGUAAACAUAUAUUCCCAGUUUUUCUCUUUCUGAACCUCAGGAAAAUGAAUAACAGGUAUGAUAUGUGACUCUUGAAUAUUCGUCAUUUCUGAGAAUAAGGUUAUUUCAUGUUCAGUCUCCAAAAUGAUACUAUGCAAUUGACAUACAUCUACUAUUAUCUAGUAUCUAGGUCAUAGUCUUUGUUCCAUCAGCCCAUUAACGUUGCUUUAUCCUGCCCAGUAUAGAUCUUGAAGUCACCAACACACACACACACUGGAUUUAGUUUUCACAUCUCUGGGAUCUUUCAGUGUAAAACCAUUUCCCUACUGUCCACCCUUUUCUUUUUUCUAUCAUCAUGAUCCUCAUUAUUUUGUGGUUCUAGGUAUUAACCAGAGAGCUUCCUGCAUGGUGGACUAGUGCUUUAUUACUGGGAUGCUCCUCCCAUUCCAUUGAAAGGAUUUUUUUUUUUUCACAAUAGAGGUGUCUUUCAUGGCCCUGCCAUUUUGAGUCUAGAUAUGCCGUUUUCUAGCAUGUUCUGUGGUGGCACCUUUCCUCCUGGUUUGGCUCAGAUUAAGCGUCUUUGGUGAUAAUACUAGAUAGCUGAACUGAUGUUGUCAUCUUGUAGCUCCUUAUCAGGUUUCCCCUUGAUCCUGGGUGAAGAUACCAAGUUAACCACUUAGUUUAGCUAGAUCACACGUUUCUCCAUUGCUGCCCUUUUGUAAUUAAUGAAGAAGUAAGUCUGAGGGAUAAUCUUGAGAAUGCUGGUCCUUUUCUCUUACUGCACUUACGGAGUUAACGGGGCGACAGCACAGAUUGUGUCAAAUGCCUACCAGAGCUACCGACCUGGCCUUCUCCAGUUCUGGGAUUCGAAUAUUAGGUGGAGGCAUUGCUGUGUUGACAAGAGCUUGUUUCUCACCACUCCUUUUUUGAUGGAUUUUAAAAAAUAGAAAUUCAGUGUGAUUUGACAGUAGCUCAUUCGCAUCAAAGGUGGCCCAUUGAGAGCAUCUUUAAACUCUGCUGUCUCACUUCCAUGUAGCCUUGCUAGUUAAGAUUCUUUGUUACAUGUAUUUAUUUUGGGUAUGUGAGUCCACAUGUGCCUGUGUGUCCGUGUGCGUGCAUGCUCUAGUGUGUGUGUGUUGGUCAGAGGACAGUGUGGAGGAAAUGGUUCUCUCUUGCCGGAGGAUCUUGGGGACUGAACUCAGGUUAUAGGCACCUUUACUCACUGAGCCAUCUUGUCGCCCGUUCUUCCAAGUACUUUCUCACUACACCAUCAGCUCUAGGCUAACCUUAAGUGGAUUCUACCCCGGAACUGCAUCUAGUUAUUUCUCCAAGGAAUCCCGUUUCCUGUUUGUGGAGGAAUGCUCAGUAAAUAGAGAGUUGUACUAAUCAGAUUUGUGUUGUCCCUGGGCAGAGGUAGGACUUUUGUAACCUCCUCCACCCCCCCCCCCCCACAGUGCAUACAUGCCUGCUACCUGGCCUGUCUGUCUAAGGUCUGUUCAGCUCAGUCAUGGCAUGUAACAUGGAUGCUUUCUGCUCUAGCCUGGCAUCCAAGUUGUCUUUCUCCAUCUCCCAUUCCUUCCUUACAUCCUCCAUCCCAGGGGAGAACCCUGGGUCUCAGCUCCAUCCUUAUCUUAUAACUAAUAUGGAAGGAUUUUUACAUUACUUCACCAAGACCACUGUGGACCAUGAUCUUAGCAAGUAAAUCGCAGUUCUCCCCUCCCUCCCUCCCUCCCUGUUCUUGUUAUCUUUAAAAAGAUCCUACUUGUCCUGGCAGUGGUGAGAGGCAGAGGUAGGUGGAUCUCUGAGUUCGAGGCCACCUGCUCUACAGUUCCAGGACAGCCAGGGUUACAUACUCCCUUCAUCCAUCCCCCCAAAAGCCAAAACAGCUCUCUUGUCUGUCUGUCUGUCUCUCUCUCUGUCUGUGUGAGGGGGAGGGUUGAUUUUGUAGAUAUAUUUUUUGGGUACAUAAAUCAGCCAUCUAGCUAAAAAAAUCCCCCACUUUUUCUGCUUCUUUAAAAAUAAAACCAUCUUCCAAUUUUAUUUUUAUUGUGCUUCCUAUUUUUUUAAAGGGGUACUAUUACUCUUUUAAGAUUGUGUUAGAGAUCUCCGUAUUUUCUUUAUUCGACCCACCCUGGCUGCUUCCCAUUUAUUUAAAUGACCUCCUGUCAUUCAGCUUUGUUCUAGUAACCAAGAAAGCUUUUUCUUGGGUGGAAUUCUGUAUAUAUAUUUUAAUUUUCCAAUUUAUUUCAACAAGGACCACCUUUCCAUACUGAUACAAUGUGUGUCUGGUAUUUAUCGUUUUCUGGAAUAUACAGUCUUUGACUGCGUUUUACUUAGCUUUUGACAAUCAUUUGAGAAAUGCUUCUCCCCUCUGAUAAGUUGGAUAAUUACAGCACAAGCUCCAACUCUUCUUUCUUUUUAUUAUUAUUAUUUUUUAAGGAGGGUCUUGAAAUUCCGCCCAGCCUGGCCUUGAGCUGGAGGUGGUCCUCUGCUUCUGUUUCCUGGAAUUACAGGAGUAUACCACCACAUCCAAAUCUACUUAAAACAAACCCAAAACCAACC
rnacentral:lncRNA from 1 species